rnacentral:rRNA from 1 species
UUAAGCGACUAAGCGUACACGGUGGAUGCCCUGGCAGUCAGAGGCGAUGAAGGACGUGCUAAUCUGCGAUAAGCGUCGGUAAGGUGAUAUGAACCGUUAUAACCGGCGAUUUCCGAAUGGGGAAACCCAGUGUGAUUCGUCACACUAUCAUUAACUGAAUCCAUAGGUUAAUGAGGCGAACCGGGGGAACUGAAACAUCUAAGUACCCCGAGGAAAAGAAAUCAACCGAGAUUCCCCCAGUAGCGGCGAGCGAACGGGGAGCAGCCCAGAGCCUGAAUCAGUGUGUGUGUUAGUGGAAGCGUCUGGAAAGGCGCGCGAUACAGGGUGACAGCCCCGUACACAAAAAUGCACAUGCUGUGAGCUCGAUGAGUAGGGCGGGACACGUGGUAUCCUGUCUGAAUAUGGGGGGACCAUCCUCCAAGGCUAAAUACUCCUGACUGACCGAUAGUGAACCAGUACCGUGAGGGAAAGGCGAAAAGAACCCCGGCGAGGGGAGUGAAAAAGAACCUGAAACCGUGUACGUACAAGCAGUGGGAGCACAGAGCAAUCUGUGUGACUGCGUACCUUUUGUAUAAUGGGUCAGCGACUUAUAUUCUGUAGCAAGGUUAACCGAAUAGGGGAGCCGAAGGGAAACCGAGUCUUAACUGGGCGUUAAGUUGCAGGGUAUAGACCCGAAACCCGGUGAUCUAGCCAUGGGCAGGUUGAAGGUUGGGUAACACUAACUGGAGGACCGAACCGACUAAUGUUGAAAAAUUAGCGGAUGACUUGUGGCUGGGGGUGAAAGGCCAAUCAAACCGGGAGAUAGCUGGUUCUCCCCGAAAGCUAUUUAGGUAGCGCCUCGUGAAUUCAUCUCCGGGGGUAGAGCACUGUUUCGGCAAGGGGGUCAUCCCGACUUACCAACCCGAUGCAAACUGCGAAUACCGGAGAAUGUUAUCACGGGAGACACACGGCGGGUGCUAACGUCCGUCGUGAAGAGGGAAACAACCCAGACCGCCAGCUAAGGUCCCAAAGUCAUGGUUAAGUGGGAAACGAUGUGGGAAGGCCCAGACAGCCAGGAUGUUGGCUUAGAAGCAGCCAUCAUUUAAAGAAAGCGUAAUAGCUCACUGGUCGAGUCGGCCUGCGCGGAAGAUGUAACGGGGCUAAACCAUGCACCGAAGCUGCGGCAGCGACGCUGAUGCGUUGUUGGGUAGGGGAGCGUUCUGUAAGCCUGUGAAGGUGUACUGUGAGGUAUGCUGGAGGUAUCAGAAGUGCGAAUGCUGACAUAAGUAACGAUAAAGCGGGUGAAAAGCCCGCUCGCCGGAAGACCAAGGGUUCCUGUCCAACGUUAAUCGGGGCAGGGUGAGUCGACCCCUAAGGCGAGGCCGAAAGGCGUAGUCGAUGGGAAACAGGUUAAUAUUCCUGUACUUGGUGUUACUGCGAAGGGGGGACGGAGAAGGCUAUGUUGGCCGGGCGACGGUUGUCCCGGUUUAAGCGUGUAGGCUGGUUUUCCAGGCAAAUCCGGAAAAUCAAGGCUGAGGCGUGAUGACGAGGCACUACGGUGCUGAAGCAACAAAUGCCCUGCUUCCAGGAAAAGCCUCUAAGCAUCAGGUAACAUCAAAUCGUACCCCAAACCGACACAGGUGGUCAGGUAGAGAAUACCAAGGCGCUUGAGAGAACUCGGGUGAAGGAACUAGGCAAAAUGGUGCCGUAACUUCGGGAGAAGGCACGCUGAUAUGUAGGUGAAGUCCCUCGCGGAUGGAGCUGAAAUCAGUCGAAGAUACCAGCUGGCUGCAACUGUUUAUUAAAAACACAGCACUGUGCAAACACGAAAGUGGACGUAUACGGUGUGACGCCUGCCCGGUGCCGGAAGGUUAAUUGAUGGGGUUAGCGCAAGCGAAGCUCUUGAUCGAAGCCCCGGUAAACGGCGGCCGUAACUAUAACGGUCCUAAGGUAGCGAAAUUCCUUGUCGGGUAAGUUCCGACCUGCACGAAUGGCGUAAUGAUGGCCAGGCUGUCUCCACCCGAGACUCAGUGAAAUUGAACUCGCUGUGAAGAUGCAGUGUACCCGCGGCAAGACGGAAAGACCCCGUGAACCUUUACUAUAGCUUGACACUGAACAUUGAGCCUUGAUGUGUAGGAUAGGUGGGAGGCUUUGAAGUGUGGACGCCAGUCUGCAUGGAGCCGACCUUGAAAUACCACCCUUUAAUGUUUGAUGUUCUAACGUUGACCCGUAAUCCGGGUUGCGGACAGUGUCUGGUGGGUAGUUUGACUGGGGCGGUCUCCUCCUAAAGAGUAACGGAGGAGCACGAAGGUUGGCUAAUCCUGGUCGGACAUCAGGAGGUUAGUGCAAUGGCAUAAGCCAGCUUGACUGCGAGCGUGACGGCGCGAGCAGGUGCGAAAGCAGGUCAUAGUGAUCCGGUGGUUCUGAAUGGAAGGGCCAUCGCUCAACGGAUAAAAGGUACUCCGGGGAUAACAGGCUGAUACCGCCCAAGAGUUCAUAUCGACGGCGGUGUUUGGCACCUCGAUGUCGGCUCAUCACAUCCUGGGGCUGAAGUAGGUCCCAAGGGUAUGGCUGUUCGCCAUUUAAAGUGGUACGCGAGCUGGGUUUAGAACGUCGUGAGACAGUUCGGUCCCUAUCUGCCGUGGGCGCUGGAGAACUGAGGGGGGCUGCUCCUAGUACGAGAGGACCGGAGUGGACGCAUCACUGGUGUUCGGGUUGUCAUGCCAAUGGCACUGCCCGGUAGCUAAAUGCGGAAGAGAUAAGUGCUGAAAGCAUCUAAGCACGAAACUUGCCCCGAGAUGAGUUCUCCCUGACCCUUUAAGGGUCCUGAAGGAACGUUGAAGACGACGACGUUGAUAGGCCGGGUGUGUAAGCGCAGCGAUGCGUUGAGCUAACCGGUACUAAUGAACCGUGAGGCUUAACCUU